rnacentral:rRNA from 1 species
CAGUCGCCACGGGAAUACGAAGGGUGCAAGCGUUAAUCGGAAUUACUGGGCGUAAAGCGUGCGUAGGCGGUGAGUUAAGUCUGCUGUGAAAUCCCCGGGCUCAACCUGGGAAUGGCAGUGGAUACUGGCUCGCUAGAGUGUGUCAGAGGAUGGUGGAAUUCCCGGUGUAGCGGUGAAAUGCGUAGAGAUCGGAAGGAACAUCUGUGGCGAAGGCGACUAUCUGGGCCAACACUGACACUGAGGCACGAAAGCGUGGGGAGCAAACAGGAUUAGAUACCCCCGUAGUCCCUGUCUCUUAUAC